CUAGGUAAUAUGCUUUUUCUGAGGUUAAAGAAACAUCCUAGAGAAAGGAGAUAUCUUCACUUUGGCUAUCUGUCCUUUGUCGCCUUCGAGAAGAUGGCAUUUAUGGUUCAACCUCUGUACCUAAAUCUAUAACUAAUGACCAUAUUCUAUGCCAGCAUCAGACCAACAUUCAAUUGGUCAAGCAGGGUUAUAUGCUAAUGAGAAUAUACAACCACAAGAAAUUGCUACAUCUAUCAACCAAAAGUCAACCCUUCUUCAUGAUUUUGUUAGGAUUUCAUGUACUUUGAAAGCUUGCUCAUCUAAUGAUUGUGCAGUGAAGAAGCUUCGUGUUGGAGGAUCAUAAACCAAAUACUUCAGCAAUGCCAUGCUACUUUUGGAAUUUGGAAAGAACUUUGUGGACGUAUAUGAAGUAAUUUUGGUAUUAAAUAAUCGGGAAUAAUUUGCUAUCCAAGGGUCAGGGCAACAUAACUAUUUUAAGUUUGUACUCUUUUUGUAUGCUUUAAGUUUGAUAUGGUUGUCUUAAUGUCACUACUACAGUGUGAAUUUGUUCAUGACCUUAAAGGUGUUAUGUAACCUUAUUUGCUCCUAACCAUAUAUUUAAUUAUUGAGAAAGACACAUAUAGAAGCAUAAAACCAUUUUAUUCUAUAUUCUCCUCUGUUACGACCCUUCAAACAUUUAUCAGCAGCAUUCCUCCUUGUGCUAAAUCAGUUAUAUGGCAUGCUUUGCUGUAUAUUCCAAUUCAUAUAGACAUUAUUUCAGUUCCUCUUGACAUUGAUUUAUAAUUUUUACACCAUCAUUCAUGCUAUUACAGAUCGCGUUCAAGGAAAAUUAUAGAGAACAUAUGUUCAGUUUCAAAUUCAGAUAAAAGUCAGCACAAGUUGUUGUGUUGUACCCCCAAGACAACUCAAUCAUCUUAGCUCUGGUUUUGUUAAUCACUUGCCUUUGUAUCCUGGCUUUGUCCAUAAUAUCUUAUACUGAUGCAGUGUAAAAUUCAGCACCUUCGCUGCUGAAUUGCAAUCUUGACUGAGGUUAGAAGGUUGCCUGUGGGUGAUGGCAUUUGGGUAGCUCACCAUAAGUAUCUUGAUAGUGAAUAAAUUCUUGAUUUUAUAGUUGAAAGGAAGAAGGUUGAGGAUUUUCGUCGCUCAAUAAGAGACAAUCGAGCUAAGAGAAUGAGGCUCGUGGCUUAAGAAGAUGGUAUAUCUGGUGGAAGGUGAUCAAAAUUCCUCUGAGCCAGCUGAAAGCAUCAAACCAGUUUGCUUCACGACUAAGAUCUUCGAGGGGUUUGAUGUGCAAAGAACAAGUGGCUUAGCAGACACGUUAAAAAAGUACAGUUAUCUUACUCGGUCAAUAAACCGGCACAACAAAUCGCUAGAUACUGAGCAAAAUUCUGUUGAGGUUUGCCCUCCUUUUGACGAAUUUAUCAAGAUGUGUGACGAGUUGGACAAAACGACAGUUAGUGAUGUAUUUGCCGUCCACCUCAUGCAGAUAUUAGUGAUACUUAAGGCAUAUAGUCAAUGUAAUUGUGUUAUUUUCCCUAACUUUAACACCCCUUACAACAUUAUACUUAAUUACCACUAAUAUAUCAUAACA